GGCCAGGGUGGUGUAGUGAUAGCACGAGCCUUCAAUGUAGGCGAAACGCGGGUUCAACUCCUGCAUGGGGCCG